rnacentral:rRNA from 1 species
CGGCGAUGUCCGAAUGGGGAAACCCAGUGCAAUUCGUUGCACUAUCGUUAACUGAAUACAUAGGUUAACGAGGCGAACCGGGGGAACUGAAACAUCUAAGUACCCCGAGGAAAAGAAAUCAACCGAGAUUCCCCCAGUAGCGGCGAGCGAACGGGGAGCAGCCCAGAGUCUGAAUCAGCUUGUGUGUUAGUGGAACGGUCUGGAAAGUCCGACGGUACAGGGUGAUAGUCCCGUACACCAAAAUGCACAGGCUGUGAACUCGAAGAGUAGGGCGGGACACGUGGUAUCCUGUCUGAAUAUGGGGGGACCAUCCUCCAAGGCUAAAUACUCCUGACUGACCGAUAGUGAACCAGUACCGUGAGGGAAAGGCGAAAAGAACCCCGGCGAGGGGAGUGAAAAAGAACCUGAAACCGUGUACGUACAAGCAGUGGGAGCACCUUCGGGUGUGACUGCGUACCUUUUGUAUAAUGGGUCAGCGACUUAUAUUCUGUAGCAAGGUUAACCGUAUAGGGGAGCCGCAGGGAAACCGAGUCUUAACUGGGCGUUAAGUUGCAGGGUAUAGACCCGAAACCCGGUGAUCUAGCCAUGGGCAGGUUGAAGGUUGGGUAACACUAACUGGAGGACCGAACCGACUAAUGUUGAAAAAUUAGCGGAUGACUUGUGGCUGGGGGUGAAAGGCCAAUCAAACCGGGAGAUAGCUGGUUCUCCCCGAAAGCUAUUUAGGUAGCGCCUCGUGAACUCAUCUUCGGGGGUAGAGCACUGUUUCGGCUAGGGGGUCAUCCCGACUUACCAACCCGAUGCAAACUACGAAUACCGAAGAAUGUUAUCACGGGAGACACACGGCGGGUGCUAACGUCCGUCGUGAAGAGGGAAACAACCCAGACCGCCAGCUAAGGUCCCAAAGUCAUGGUUAAGUGGGAAACGAUGUGGGAAGGCACAGACAGCCAGGAUGUUGGCUUAGAAGCAGCCAUCAUUUAAAGAAAGCGUAAUAGCUCACUGGUCGAGUCGGCCUGCGCGGAAGAUGUAACGGGGCUAAACCAUGCACCGAAGCUGCGGCAGCGACACUAUGUGUUGUUGGGUAGGGGAGCGUUCUGUAAGCCUGCGAAGGUGUGCUGUGAGGCAUGCUGGAGGUAUCAGAAGUGCGAAUGCUGACAUAAGUAACGAUAAAGCGGGUGAAAAGCCCGCUCGCCGGAAGACCAAGGGUUCCUGUCCAACGUUAAUCGGGGCAGGGUGAGUCGACCCCUAAGGCGAGGCCGAAAGGCGUAGUCGAUGGGAAACAGGUUAAUAUUCCUGUACUUGGUGUUACUGCGAAGGGGGGACGGAGAAGGCUAUGUUAGCCGGGCGACGGUUGUCCCGGUUUAAGCAUGUAGGCUGGUUAUCCAGGCAAAUCCGGAUAAUCAAGGCUGAGGUGUGAUGACGAGGCACUACGGUGCUGAAGUAACAAAUGCCCUGCUUCCAGGAAAAGCCUCUAAGCAUCAGGUAACAUCAAAUCGUACCCCAAACCGACACAGGUGGUCAGGUAGAGAAUACCAAGGCGCUUGAGAGAACUCGGGUGAAGGAACUAGGCAAAAUGGUGCCGUAACUUCGGGAGAAGGCACGCUGGUGUGUAGGUGAAGUCCCUGCGGAUGGAGCUGAGACCAGUCGAAGAUACCAGCUGGCUGCAACUGUUUAUUAAAAACACAGCACUGUGCAAACACGAAAGUGGACGUAUACGGUGUGACGCCUGCCCGGUGCCGGAAGGUUAAUUGAUGGGGUUAUCCGUAAGGAGAAGCUCUUGAUCGAAGCCCCGGUAAACGGCGGCCGUAACUAUAACGGUCCUAAGGUAGCGAAAUUCCUUGUCGGGUAAGUUCCGACCUGCACGAAUGGCGUAAUGAUGGCCAGGCUGUCUCCACCCGAGACUCAGUGAAAUUGAACUCGCUGUGAAGAUGCAGUGUACCCGCGGCAAGACGGAAAGACCCCGUGAACCUUUACUAUAGCUUGACACUGAACAUUGAGCCUUGAUGUGUAGGAUAGGUGGGAGGCUUUGAAGCGUGGACGCCAGUCUGCGUGGAGCCAACCUUGAAAUACCACCCUUUAAUGUUUGAUGUUCUAACGUUGGCCCCUGACCGGGGUUGCGGACAGUGUCUGGUGGGUAGUUUGACUGGGGCGGUCUCCUCCCAAAGCGUAACGGAGGAGCACGAAGGUUAGCUAAUCCUGGUCGGACAUCAGGAGGUUAGUGCAAUGGCAUAAGCUAGCUUGACUGCGAGCGUGACGGCGCGAGCAGGUGCGAAAGCAGGUCAUAGUGAUCCGGUGGUUCUGAAUGGAAGGGCCAUCGCUCAACGGAUAAAAGGUACUCCGGGGAUAACAGGCUGAUACCGCCCAAGAGUUCAUAUCGACGGCGGUGUUUGGCACCUCGAUGUCGGCUCAUCACAUCCUGGGGCUGAAGUAGGUCCCAAGGGUAUGGCUGUUCGCCAUUUAAAGUGGUACGCGAGCUGGGUUUAGAACGUCGUGAGACAGUUCGGUCCCUAUCUGCCGUGGGCGCUGGAGAAUUGAGGGGG